UGGACAUUGGACGAUUAUGGUGUGGGAGUGCCACCAGCUGAGGAUCCAGAGGAGCCAGAAGACAUCCAGGGGCUGGCACUGCACGACGUGUUCCUCAGAGGAAGGCAGCAGCGCAGCGCCGUUGUCAACCUUUUCUGAAGGACACAGGAAUGGUGCGCAGCGAUGUCUUGCGCUAUGGCGCGCACCUGCUCCAGGAUCCCUUCCUGAGCUGCUGCCGUCCGCUCUGCCGCGACAGCGAGGCGGGUGGUGGAGGCUUCGAUUCUCUGCAGCACCUGGAAUGUAUAAUCAUGGUGAAACUGUUCGCAUGAGUAGCUGAUUACUCACAACCAGCUUACGGCUGGAAGCUGCUGUUGUCAAGCAUUGCAACGUGCACAACGAUUCCCUCUCUGUUGAAGAGCCACUGGCCUGAUGGCAUCCUUUGGCAGUGUCAAGCGUCGCGUACAAGCUAUGCCCUCUUUGUUUGGACAGACAAAGACCUGCUGGAACUACU